rnacentral:tRNA from 1 species
AUCUGACUGGCUCAGUCAGUAGAGCAUGUGACACUUGAUCUCAGGUUGUGAGUUCGAGUCCCACGUUGGGUG